GCACUGUUGGCUUAGUGGUAAAAUGCGAAGUGUAUGUUACCAUUGGUCCUGGGUUCAAUUCCCAGCCAGUACA